AACCUAUAGGAUCUGAUGCAAUCUCCAGGUAGAUACUGUCAGAAUUUGUUUAUUUAUUUAGUUUUUUUAUUGUUAUGAUUAUUUGAGAUGGGGUCUUGCUCUGUUGCCGAGGCUGGAAUGCAGUGGUGAGACCCUAGCUCACUGCAGCCUGGAACUCCUGGGCUCAAGCAAUCCUACUUCAGUCUCCUGAGCAGCUGGGACUACAGGCAUGCACCAUCGUGCUCAGCUACUUAUUUCAUUCUUGUAGAGACAGAGUCUUGCUAUGUUGCCCAGACUGGUCUCCAGUUCCUGGGCUCAAGCAAUUCCCUCCCACCUCUGCCUCCCAACGCUGGGAUUACCAAGGCAUGAGCCACUGUGCCUGGCUGAAGUCGGAAUUAAAUUGGGUUCAAGGACACCUAACUGGUGCCCACUAAAACAUUGGUUGCUUGCUUGCUUGCUGAUAGGGAGAAAUCCUCACAUGUUUGGUCACAGAUGUCUUCUGUGUUCAUUGUUGUGUUGUGAGAUCAGAGGAAAAACAGUUGUUUUUUUUCUACAUCAGAGGACACAAAUAUUCAGACCAUAGCAGCUGUGGCAGGAAUUUGCUGUUCUAUUCCAGCCAACACCUGAAGACUGGUCCAGGCUCUUCCUUUCCUAGAGCAUUUACUGAAACCAGCUCACAACUGGGAAUGCUUCCUUUGGCGUGUUGAGAUGUCCAUGUGUCUCCUACAAUCUAGCAGUGGCUCCUCGAGGAACCCAGAGCCAUUCCUUUGAAACCAGGAGGGAGAAGGCCUUAGUCUCUGCCAGAAGGUCUUUCCAGGACUCAAAGGUGCUCAAGUGCACAGCGUCUGUAAACUGGCCAGGACUAGCCCAAGGUCGUGGUCUCUCAUCAGCAGAAAGCUCUUGAAGUCAGUGUCUUGUCCAGUGAAUGCUGCCAUCAUGGCUGGUGGAGCAGGGGGUCGGAGAGUCAGCCUCUGUGAGCUGGGUAAGCUGCAAUUGUCUUAAUGUUGCUUAGCUGGAGGCCAGUGCUUGGUUAGCUGCUGGAGUAAAAGAAAACCCUUGCAGCAGUGAAAACAUGGUUUAUUCUUUAAGUGUAGGGUGCUGACUUAACCCUUAGGUCUUGUUUAUAAUUUGUCACCUUAUUGCCACAAAGACUCCAUCCUGUGUCUGUGUUUUUUUAAAAAAUUCUCUUAACCUCACCUGGACUGUCUCUAUGUUAACAUGAAUGCUGUCAGUUGUGUCUAAACCUCAACAGAAAGGGGUAUAAUGAGAUGUGUCUGACUCCCACCCUAUCAUGGCCAGAAACUCAGUUUUUAAGGUUCUAUGGGGUCCCUUUUACCAACAGAGUGUCUGUGCAGUUGGUUAGGGGUGCUUAGGAUUUUAUUUUUAGUUUACAGUCUCUAAAUCAGGAGACACAGACCGGCUGGCCUAUUUGUAGAUAUGCCAAUUAGCAUCCAGUGAAGGCUGGCCCCGGGUUUAUGUGAAAUGAGGAGGGUGAAACCCCAACCUGCAAGACCCUGGGCCCAAAUUGCAGUAGCAACAAUGCCAAAGUUGCAGCAUUUUUCACAAAACAACUCUCACCUAUUAUUUUCCUUGAAUUUCUUGUCAUAGCAAGUGCGGAAGAUUCACCAGAACCAUCAGGCAGAACCACACAUUUGUUUUCAGAAAUGUCUUUCCUUUCUUUCCACAAUGUUGCUUUGGCUUAAAUGUUUGUGUCAGAGACGUGUGAACCAGAGCAACUCCAUCUUGAAUAGGGGCUGGGUAAAAUAAGGCUGAGACCUGCUGGGCUGCAUUCCCAGGAGAUUAAGGAGGUUAAGGCAUUCUAAGUCACAGGAUGAGACAGGAGGUUAGCACAAGAUACAGGUCAUAAAGACGCUGCUCAUAAAACAGGUUGCAGUAAACAAGCUGCCCCAAACCCACCAAAACCAAGAUGGCGAUGAGAGUGACCUCUGGUCAUCCUCACCACUACACUCCCACCAGUGCUAUGACAGUUUACAAAUGCCAUGGCAACAUCCAGAAGUUACCCUAUAUGGUCUAAAAAGAGGAGAAACCCUCAGCUCUGGGAAUUGCCCACACCUUUCCUGGGAGACUCAUGAAUAAUCCCCACCUUAUUUAGCAUAUAAUCAAGAAAUAAACAUAAAAAUGGGCAACCAGCGCACCAUGCCACUGCUCUGCCUAUGGAUUAGUCAUUUUUUAUUCCUUUACUUUCUUAAUAAACUUGCUUUCACUUUAUGGAUUUGCCUCAAAUUCUUUCUUGCACCAGAUCCAAGAACCCUUUUUUGGGGUUUGGACUGGGACCCCUUUCGGGUAACAUUUGUGUCCCCAGCCCAAACUCAUCUGUGGAAGCCCCAACCCUCAAUGUGAGGAUGGCAUAGGAGGUGGGGCCUUGGGGAGAUAAUUAGGUCAUCAAGGUGGAGCCCUCACUGAUGGGAUUAGGGCCACUGUAAAAUGGACUCCAGAGAGCUGCCUCACCCCUUCCAUCACAUGAGGUUGCAACCACAAGACUGCACUCUACAGCCCAGAAGAGGACCCUCACCAGACCCCAGCCCUGCUGACACCUUCAUCUUGAACUUUCAGCCUCCAGACUGUGAUCAAAAAUUCUAUUGUCUACAAAUUGCUCAGUCUCUGGUGUUUUGUCAUAGCAGCUUGAAGUGACUGAGACAAAUGUCCUCACUUGAGGAUGAGGCAUCAGCAUUAUCAUGGAAGGACUACCAAUGAUCAUGGUGACUUUUUUUCUUCUUUAUUUCUUUAAACUGACAAAAAUUGUAUAUAUGGUGUACAAGGUACUGUUUUGAAAUAUGUAUUGUGUUGGGAAUAUGGAUUGGGGAAUGGCUAAAUCAAGCUAAUUAACAUAGACAUUACCUCACAUAUUUAUUUGUGGUGAGAACACCUAAAAUCUACUCUCUUAGCAAUUUUCAUGUACUACAUUGCUGUGAAUUAUAGUCAUUGUGUUGUACAUUAGAUGUCUUGAACUGACUCCUCCUGUGUCAGCGUGCCCUAGCCCCCUCCUGUGCCCUUUAGUCAGCGUCUCUGGCCCCCAGAUCCUGGUGACCAUCAUUCCACUCUCUGCUUUAUGAUAUCAACCUCUUUAGAUUCCGCAUAGAAGUGAGAUUAUGCAGUGUUUGUCUUUCCAUAUCUGGCUAAUUUCACUUAACGUAAUGUUCUCAUUUCACCCCUGUUGUCACAAAUGAGGGAAUUUCAUUAUGUUUUAAGGCCGGAAUAGUAUUUCAUUGUACAUAUGUACCAUAUUUUCUUUACUCAUUCAUCCGACAAUGGAUACUUAGGUUAACUCCA
rnacentral:lncRNA from 10 species